AAAUUGAAGAGUUUGAUCAUGGCUCAGAUUGAACGCUGGCGGCAGGCCUAACACAUGCAAGUCGAACGGUAACAGGAAUCAGCUUGCUGAUUUGCUGACGAGUGGCGGACGGGUGAGUAAUGUCUGGGAAACUGCCUGAUGGAGGGGGAUAACUACUGGAAACGGUAGCUAAUACCGCAUAAUGUCGCAAGACCAAAGAGGGGGACCUUCGGGCCUCUUGCCAUCGGAUGUGCCCAGAUGGGAUUAGCUAGUAGGUGGGGUAACGGCUCACCUAGGCGACGAUCCCUAGCUGGUCUGAGAGGAUGACCAGCCACACUGGAACUGAGACACGGUCCAGACUCCUACGGGAGGCAGCAGUGGGGAAUAUUGCACAAUGGGCGCAAGCCUGAUGCAGCCAUGCCGCGUGUAUGAAGAAGGCCUUCGGGUUGUAAAGUACUUUCAGCGGGGAGGAAGGGAGUAAAGUUAAUACCUUUACUCAUUGACGUUACCCGCAGAAGAAGCACCGGCUAACUCCGUGCCAGCAGCCGCGGUAAUACGGAGGGUGCAAGCGUUAAUCGGAAUUACUGGGCGUAAAGCGCACGCAGGCGGUUUGUUAAGUCAGAUGUGAAAUCCCCGGGCUCAACCCGGGAACUGCAUCUGAUACUGGCAAGCUUGAGUCUCGUAGAGGGGGGUAGAAUUCCAAGUGUAGCGGUGAAAUGCGUAGAGAUCUGGAGGAAUACCGGUGGCGAAGGCGGCCCCCUGGACGAAGACUGACGCUCAGGUGCGAAAGCGUGGGGAGCAAACAGGAUUAGAUACCCUGGUAGUCCACGCCGUAAACGAUGUCGACUUGGAGGUUGUGCCCUUGAGGCGUGGCUUCCGGAGCUAACGCGUUAAGUCGACCGCCCGGGGGAGUACGUACCGCAAGGUUAAAACUCAAAUGAAUUGACGGGGGCCCGCACAAGCGGUGGAGCAUGUGGUUUAAUUCGAUGCAACGCGAAGAACCUUACCUGGUCUUGACAUCCACAGAACCUUGUAGAGAUACGAGGGUGCCUUCGGGAACUGUGAGACAGGUGCUGCAUGGCUGUCGUCAGCUCGUGUUGUGAAAUGUUGGGUUAAGUCCCGCAACGAGCGCAACCCUUAUCCUUUGUUGCCAGCGGUCCGGCCGGGAACUCAAAGGAGACUGCCAGUGAUAAACUGGAGGAAGGUGGGGAUGACGUCAAGUCAUCAUGGCCCUUACGACCAGGGCUACACACGUGCUACAAUGGCGCAUACAAAGAGAAGCGACCUCGCGAGAGCAAGCGGACCUCAUAAAGUGCGUCGUAGUCCGGAUUGAGUCUGCAACUCGACUCCAUGAAGUCGGAAUCGCUAGUAAUCGUGGAUCAGAAUGCCACGGUGAAUACGUUCCCGGGCCUUGUACACACCGCCCGUCACACCAUGGGAGUGGGUUGCAAAAGAAGUAGGUAGCUUAACCUUCGGGAGGGCGCUUACCACUUUGUGAUUCAUGACUGGGGUGAAGUCGUAACAAGGUAACCGUAGGGGAACCUGCGGUUGGAUCACCUCCUUACCUUAAAGAAGC
rnacentral:rRNA from 1 species